rnacentral:rRNA from 1 species
UAGUCCACGCCGUAAACGAUGAUUACUCGCUGUAGGCGAUACACAGUCUGUGGCUAAGCGAAAGUUUUAAGUAAUCCACCUGGGGAGUACGAUCGCAAGAUUGAAACUCAAAGGAAUUGACGGGGGCCCGCACAAGCGGAGGAACAUGUGGUUUAAUUCGAUGAUACGCGAGGAACCUUACCUGGACUUAAAUGUAGAUUGCAUGAAUCAGAGAUGGUUCUUUCUUCGGACUAUUUACAAGGUGCUGCAUGGUUGUCGUCAGCUCGUGCCGUGAGGUGUCGGGUUAAGUCCCAUAACGAGCGCAACCCCUAUCCUUAGUUGCCAGCGGGUCAUGCCGGGGACUCUGAGGAGACUGCCACCGUAGGGUGUGAGGAAGGUGGGGAUGACGUCAAAUCAGCACGGUCCUUAUGUCCAGGGCUACACACGUGUUACAAUGGACGGUACAAAGGGCAGCUACCUGGCGACGAGGAUGACUAAUCUACUAAACGUCCGUUCUCGUAGGUUCGGAUACGGAAGUCUGACCCG